rnacentral:rRNA from 1 species
CAUGCUUAACACAUGCAAGUCGAACGGCAGCGCGAGGAGCUUGCUCCUUGGCGGCGAGUGGCGGACGGGUGAGUAACGCGUGGGAACGUGCCCUUCAGUUCGGGAUAACCCAGGGAAACUUGGGCUAAUACCGGAUACGUGCGAGAGCAGAAAGAUUUAUCGCUGAAGGAUCGGCCCGCGUCUGAUUAGCUAGUUGGUGGGGUAAUGGCCCACCAAGGCGACGAUCAGUAGCUGGUCUGAGAGGAUGAUCAGCCACAUUGGGACUGAGACACGGCCCAAACUCCUACGGGAGGCAGCAGUGGGGAAUAUUGGACAAUGGGCGCAAGCCUGAUCCAGCCAUGCCGCGUGAGUGAUGAAGGCCUUAGGGUUGUAAAGCUCUUUCGUCCGGGACGAUAAUGACGGUACCGGAAGAAGAAGCCCCGGCUAACUUCGUGCCAGCAGCCGCAGUAA